rnacentral:rRNA from 1 species
UACGUAGGGCGCAAGCGUUGUCCGGAAUUAUUGGGCGUAAAGCGCGCGCAGGCGGUCCUUUAAGUCUGAUGUGAAAGCCCACGGCUCAACCGUGGAGGGUCAUUGGAAACUGGGGGACUUGAGUGCAGAAGAGGAAAGCGGAAUUCCACGUGUAGCGGUGAAAUGCGUAGAGAUGUGGAGGAACACCAGUGGCGAAGGCGGCUUUCUGGUCUGUAACUGACGCUGAGGCGCGAAAGCGUGGGGAGCAAACAGG